AGAAGUUAGUAGCAGGAGCAGCAGCAGAAGAAGAAGUUGUACGUUUCUAACUACUAGGUAGUAGUAGAAGCUCUCCUUUAUUAGUAGUGGAAUUUUGUACAAAUGGAGGACCACAGCUAUUAUUUAGCACAAGAGCCGACGGAGGGUGAAUCUGCUUGAUGAAAGCAUGAUGGAGCCAGACUUAUCUGGGAGCGACGCAGGCAGAAAUCAUGGGUUAACAUCGGUGUGGCUUUUCCCAGAUAGAAGGAUCUAAUGAGGGAAAAAUGUUUUCAAAGUGACGCCGAAGUUGCCAGUUUUCUGCUGGACAGCUACGAGACAGGUCCUGCAACAUCGACUCCCUUGAAGAGAAAACCUUUGCAAGUCCCUGCUCCAGCAUUGGUGCUUCUAGUGGAGCAGACCAAGAUGAGCAUCUUGAUGUCAUUCCAGAAGCCACAGAAAUUCAGGGCCUUAAACAAAGAUUUUUGUGCCUCAAUAGAAUGGGUGGAGCACUGAAGAAAGUACACUCUAUCGAUGGACUUCCUUGCCUGCACAUGAAGACCCUCCUGAUGAGCCUUCUCCCUGUGAUCAUGACCCUGUUUUCCAAGAACCACAGAAUGUCCUUUAUGAAGAUGACAUCAUAGGUGUCAGAGCCUCCAUAGUGUACGAGAACUGCUUAAGACAACUGGCUACAUUUCUGAUCCUGCCUGUGGAUAAAUGCACUGGCCUUCUGAGGACUGGUGCACUGGGCAACUCUGUUACAACCUUUGAGAUCAACAUCACCACCAAGGGCACAGCAGCUACUAUCGAAUGGAUAUAAUGGACACAACUUGUGGAGGUGGAAUUCCCAGCCUGUGAUGAAGUUUGGGAUGCAAGCUGGAGAUUUGCUCUUGUCCACCAACAUUUUGUUGUCUGGCAAUAACUACGCAAAGGUUGCCCUCUUGUUCAAAUUCAUGAACAUGGUGAUGGUAAACAGGAACACCUUCUUCUCCAUUCAGGACACUUACUGCGUCAAUACAAUAAAGGACUUCUGGGAAGAGAGAAGGACAGAGGGUUUUUGUCGCCUUCAAGGGAAAGAUCUUGUUGUCCUAGACAAGUGGCAAACAUCAUGGAACUCUGUCGUCUUGGAGAAGGAGGGUUUCAUCCAGACUGGACAAGCUUACAUCAGAGAUAAAGCUAGUGGAGAUCUGCACAGAUGCUCAUGCCCAGAUUGGUGCCCUUAUGAACCCAGACAAAGGCAAAUACAAGGCCCUUAGAAUUCAUCACAGUCUGGACAUGUGGCAUGGGUUAUUGAACUAUGUGCAGUUGAUGGAUGACAGUAUAGAAGUUUUCAUUGCACUCAAAGACAACAGAUUUUGUUUACUUUCCUCUGCCAGAAGGCAGCAAAGAUAAAAGGAGAGUCCAUCCUCUUCAACUGGCUGAAGGACAUAGUCAACCAUUUUCGGUGGUGUUGCAAGACUGCCGACACACGUGGGCAGUUGGCUAUAUCAGGUUGUGUGGCUAUACUUUUUCACACUGAUGUAUAUUAGUAAUAUUUAUGCUUACUGCUCAUGUACACAGAAGUAUGUAUUUGUUGGUUCUAUCAGAUCGACUGCAGACCUAGAGUCAUUCCAGAAUCAUAUCCUGAUGUAUGCCAGCAAGUGUUAUACUUUCAGCCCCCAGUUUAUGAGGCAAGAGUUCUACUUGCUGCUUUGGACUACAAUUUCCACCGGAACUGACCAACAAUGAAAACGUUGGACGGCAAAGAGAUUUUCAAAACAUUGUAUAAGAAGAACGGUAGAAGAUACAGCGUAUAUGCCUUGAAAUCUGAAAAAACCUACGGAUACAUUUCCGAGUUGCAAAGAAGGAUUGUGAAGAACAGACUCACAAGUGGAGUGGGGAUGCCUAGAAGGAGGAGCCUUCUCCCAGAUGAUCCCAGACAGCUUGGUUUGGUGCCCCCCGUACCUGCACCAGCCACAUCAGACUUGUAGCAGAGACAAGUCAGAAGAGGUCUAGGACCGUUAUUCCAACCAGCAUCUGAUGUGGAAGGAUCCCCAUAGGAGAUCACCUUGCAUGUGUCCUGGUACUUGUCAGGCAGCAUCACAAGGGAAAGAACUUCAGUUCACUGACAAAGUCAUAGGUUUUACUCUUCAAAAAGAGAAAUUUAUUAACAUUAAAUUCUGUUCCUACCCUCCUCCAGUGGUUAUUUCAUGUUAUUCCAUUUUGUACACGUUUCAUCUUAUUCUGCUAAGUCCACUGUGACCAGCGCAUAUUAUUUUCAGUAGGUAGCCUAAAUUACAGUUUACAAUUUGAACGUAAUGAUAAGUAAGGCUACAGCUGUCCCCUAUUAUGUAAAUAUAAAUAACUAAAAUUGGUAUUGGAAAUGUUAUGGCAAAGUUUGAAAUUCUAAACACAUGUACAAAUGUAUAUAAUGAAAAUAAAAACACCAUGUGCUUCUA